UUCACAAGCCACAUGGCCGCAAUGCGGACAUUGUUAAAGAUCUGGUCGGCACUGAUUUUAGUCAAGUAUCAGUGCGGGCCAGAUUCUGCUUGACAUGCUUGCGAGCUUUUUCAUCAGCCCACUACUUCGAGCAUGCCCUUCAUCCUCAUGGUGGGAAUGCAGAAGAAGCAGGCGUAGCCCCCAACCCCGCUCCCGUUCUGGUCGAGAUCGUGGAGCGUGAAUGGUGGAAUCUUGUCGCGGAGGACGUCAUCCGUGGCCCGCUACGCUUUCAGCAAAUCAAAGAGUUUAGUUCUCAACGGUGUGCACAUGGUAGCAGUCCACAACCGCCAACCGCCAGAUGUGCACGGCAUCCACCACUGCGCGAAUGGUUUCUGCAAUAAGUCUGUAGAGCAGCCAAGUCUGCGGGCUGGAAUGCUGGUUCAAGUUCAACAUGCAGUUUCCUUCGGGGCAAGAAGAGGAACAGGAAGUGGAAGAGGCAGAGGAUGAGUAGAAGAUUCCACGGAAGUCUGAAGUCCGGAGUCAAGGCUUGGAAUCCUUUUGUCCAUGUCUGAUGUUCUACUGGGCACAUUUUAUGACGCCUAUUCUUUACAAGUUCUGUUUAUUUUCAGAAGGGUAAAUGCUUCAUCGACAUAAUAAAGAGCAUAUUUUGAAGAUAAAAUUUUAAUUGGAAAAACUGGAUGAGACUAUACAAA